AUAAACUAGAAGAGGAUACUAAACAGAGAAAGAAAGAGCCGCCACCUGGUGCCCGUGCUACUAAUCAGAAUGAUGAAGAGGAUGAGGACGAGGAUGACGAUGAUGGUGACGAUGAUUCUGAUGACACAGAGUCUGAUGAGGAGGAAGGGGAGCCUGGAACUGCUCCAGAAGGUGCAUAUGACCCAGCUGAUUAUGAACAUCUUCCUGUGUCAGCCGAGAUCAAAGAGCUGUUUCAGUACAUCACACGAUAUACUCCACAGACGAUAGAGCUUGACCACAAACUGAAGCCCUUUAUCCCUGAUUUCAUUCCAGCUGUGGGGGACAUUGAUGCUUUCCUCAAAGUACCACGUCCAGAUGGGAAGGCUGAGAAUCUGGGUCUCCUGGUUCUGGAUGAGCCGUGCAUUAAACAGUCAGACCCAACAGUGCUUUCCCUGUGGCUGUCAGAGAACAGCAAACAACACAAUGUUGCUGAAGUAAAAGUAAAGAGCAUCGAAAACCCAGAGAAGAACCCCAAAGCCAUAGACAACUGGAUCGAG